rnacentral:tRNA from 2 species
CCGACCUUAGCUCAGUUGGUAGAGCGGAGGACUGUAGUGGGUAAAACUCAAAGUAAUCCUUAGGUCGCUGGUUCGAAUCCGGCAGGUCGGA